GACGAACGCUGGCGGCGUGCUUAACACAUGCAAGUCGAACGAAGUGGCGAACGGGUGAGUAACACGUGAGUAACCUGCCCCCUUCUUUGGGAUAACGCCCGGAAACGGGUGCUAAUACUGGAUAGUGGGGGAUGGGCUCGCGGCCUAUCAGCUUGUUGGUGGGGUGAUGGCCUACCAAGGCUUUGACGGGUAGCCGGCCUGAGAGGGUGACCGGUCACAUUGGGACUGGGAUACGGCCCAGACGCCUACGGGAGGCGGCAGUGGGGAAGAUUGCACAAUGGGCGAAAGCCUGAUGCAGCGACGCCGCGUGAGGGAUGACGGCCUUCGGGUUGUAAACCUCUUUCGCUCAUGGUCGGGUAGUGGGUAAAGAAGCGCCGGCUAACUACGUGCCAGCAGCCGCGGUAAUAC
rnacentral:rRNA from 1 species